rfam:Trachymyrmex septentrionalis contig36026, whole genome shotgun sequence.
ACAAUGGCCCUUUUCAGGGCCACAUAAAAUACCACAAACAGCCCUCU